ensembl:lincRNA
AUGGAGCGCCCGCCCCCUCCUACAGGUACUGCGCAUGUGCAAGUGGCGCGCCGUGGGCCUGGCGCAGGCGCAGGCGCAGACGUGGCUCCUUCACAUAAAUUUUUCCUUGGGCUGGUUUCCUGCAUGUCUUCUAAGUAUUUGCUUUUAGUUUCCGUGUUUUGGUGUUUUGUUUGUUCGUUUUUUUUUGUUUUGUUUUUACGACAAUGCCUUCUAGGGGAACAGUGUCGCUGGGCUGGGCGGUGGAGAGACACCUUUGGCACCAUCGUGCGAUCUCAUGCACCCUACCAGUGGAAAAUCCAUUUGGGAUUGCCCAGUGCACACAGUAGACAUGGAAAUUGAUGAUCAGCAUCCCCAGCUGCCUUCAGUGGACUAGAAUGGUGGCUGCAAGCAGUGCUCAACUUAUGGUACAACCAAAAAAGAAGGCACACUUUUCAAUUCCAGCUUUGAAAAACCUCGGGAAAGGAUUCUGAUUGGCUGGCUUGGGUCUUGUGCUCACCCACUGACCUAACUUCUGUGGACAGGUGAGAAGCUCUGACUGGCUUAGCCUAGGGCACCCAUCCACCCCUAUGGCUAUGGGCCGGGUCAGGGUCUGUUCCCACAUAAAGGAAACAAAACACAGACAUUUCCACAGAGGAUUGUCAUUAGUCCAUUACAGGGAAUUGAGAGGUAAAAGGAGAUAGAAUCAAAGAAAGGUAAAUCAGAGAACUCUCAGAGUUUCAGAUUCUGUCCCUCUUGGGUCUCUGGGGUUUCUUGCUAAAAUAUGAGUAAAUAGGACAAAAUGAGGUAUUUAUGAUGCACCAUUGAGUGAGAGAAACAAGAUGCAUACAAGUGACAUAAAAUGCAUGAUUUGUCUCCUACAUUUAACUCCUGGAAAGGUAGGCUGAGGCCAGUGGCUAAUGAGGAAGAUCCCUCUUGCCUCAUGAAACAUUCCCUAAUAGGCCGGUAAUUUUCAGAGGUCACAGCCUCACCUGUGGGCAGAAACACCUCACAGAUGCUCACGUUCCUAGAGCUCUUCUGGCAUGAGGGCUCUGGCUGUCGUGUUUUCUGUCCCUCUCUGCUGGAUAAGUCCUCAUGCUUCCCCUGGCAGCCAGACUGGAUGGCAUUUUGAGUCAAGCUGUCUCUUGGAAGCUGAAACCAUUAUGAGAGCCUGGGUUGGGAUGGAGGGACAACUGGCAUUCGGCUGAGUGGGAGGACAUGGAACAGCUUACCAGCUGCUGAGGAGCGUGUUUGCAAAGUAUGAGAGACGGGAGUGGGGAGAGAGAGAGAGAGAAGAAAAACUGUGUGUGUGUGUGUCUGUGUGUGUAUGUCUGGGUGUGUCCAUGUAACAUUCAAUUUAUUAUUACAAAUACUUUGUUCUUUCAUAACAGACUCUUUUGUCUUCUGAAUGUUUCUAGAACAUAUGCUGACUUCCUUAAGAUUAUUCUCUCAUCCAAGCCUGGGAAGGAAAAAUGGCAUGGGAGGCUCAAACCUGUCAGAGAUGGAGUAGGGUCUCUAGGGGCUAUGAGGCCAAUGCCUACCUUACCUCCUGGGAUAGGCUGUUUUGCAUUGCUAUAAAGAAAUACUUGAGGCUGGGUAAUUUAUAAAGAAAAGAGAUUUUAUUUUGGCUCAUGGUUCUGCAGACUGUGCAAGAAGCUUGAGUCCAGCAUCUUCUGGUGAGAGCCUCAGGAAGCUUUUACUCAUGGCAGAAGGUGAAGGGGGAGGCACUGGGGGAGAAGCGUGUCACAUGGCAAGUAGGAGCAAGAGAGAGAGAGAGAGGGAGGAAGUGCCACACUCUUUUAAACAACCAGGUCUUACAUGAACUCAGAGCAAGAACUCACUCUCACAAGGAGGGC